AUUUGCUCAGCACAAACGAAACAGAGGCUGAGAGACAGACCCUCUCUGUGAAGAGGGACUCGCCUGAGGAUUUAAUUAAUCGCAGAGAGAUUUCAGGAAGAGGUGUCUCCCAGUCUGAGCAGAGCCAGCUUUUCUAUCUCCUGCAUGCUCCUGUUACUGCCUGCCCGCAUGGGUGUGUCCUCAUGACGGCCUCAUUCCUGAUCAAAGCUUGUGUUUAUCGUGCUGGAGACAACAGCCUGAGACUGCUCUUAACUCAGAGGGGCCCUGCAGGAUGGAGGAAAGAAACCUCAGGGUUACACUGCCGGAUCUGUUCUUUUUAACACUGUGGCCUGGGGCAAGUCAUUUCACAUGUCUGGCUCGAUUACAACUUCUGGAAAAUGACUGGCUUGCACCAGAUCAUCUCCAGGGCCCCUUCCAGCUCAAACAGGGUUCUCAGUGCAGAUCCUGAGGAGGGGCCGGUCUGCGCUCCCAAUGCUGCGGCCACACAAGCCCUCGCCCUCCCGAGGUGGAGACCACAGCCUCUGGGACGCACGCCACUGGACCAGAGCCACGCCCCGCUCCUUUCCAGGUUCCCAAAACCAGCUCAAGCCCCUUCUUCUCCAUGAAGUCCUUCAGGAGUCCACCAUGAACCAACAGCCCACCAUGAACUCUCCCUUUAUUCACACCCUUCAUUCCUGAGGCACCUUGUCAGCGAUGGAGAGGAUUAAGAGCUGUCCUUCUUAGAACCCCAACUGUCGAGGAAUCAAGGCAAUGGCUCAUGGGUUGCACAUAGGAACUGAUAACGCAGGACCUCAAAACACGGCCUGUUCAUUCUGCAGCUGGGAUCAACCUUGUUUGUGCUGUAUGAUUUGAUUGUCACCUCCAAACCUCUCCACACCCAUGCAGAGAGCCUUCGGAGUCAGUCACCUUGGGUUCUUCUGUCUCCCUGCUCCCUCCUCCUUCCGUGUAAAAUCUUUGCUGGGAGGGAUGUCAUACUCACCUCACCUGAGUGAGUGUCUUGAUUUUCAGAGACUGUAUCUUCCAUUGUGAGUUUACAACGUUUUGGGGCAAGAAUUCAGAAAGCAAGGAAGAUGGAUCCCAGAGAAAACUUGAUCUGCUUUAUAAUUAAUCCAUCUGUUCAUUCCGCCCAUUUGUACAAUCAUUCAGCAAACCCAUCGUGAGCAUUCACUAUGCGCCAGGCACUGUUUGCCUCUGCAGGGAUGGCUCUGCCGGAACAACCCUCUCCAUGAUUCUGAAAAAAGGAAUUCGCCAGUCAUUCCAAUGCUAUUUUGGCAGCCAGUGUAUCAAGUGUCUCUGCCUGGGAUAUGGGAAACAUGAAGCCAUUCCAUCGAGCAACUUUAGUUCAAGGGCACUGAUUUAUUUAUCUCUUAUCCUAAAUAACUCAUGUGUUUCUGGGCAUAUGGUAGAUUGGUAAGGUUAGAUGGAUGGAUGGAUGGAUGGAUGGAUGUUGUAGACAACAUCGUAGGUUGGUAAGGUUGGAUGGAUGGAUGGACAGAUGGAUGGGCAGAUGUUGUAGAUAACAUGCUAGCUUGGUAAGGUAGGAAGGAUGGGUGUUGUAGACAACAUGAGUCUUAGCUUGAGUUCCUCAGAAGCAGAUUCUGAGGAUUUAAGUGCAAGUCAUUUAUUUGGGAGGUCAUCCCAGGAAGUACUGAUAGGGGAGUAGGGAAGUGAGACAGGUAAGAGAAGCAAGCCAAUAAAUGGUGUGUUACCCAGCAGGUUUCCAUUCUGAAAAGCAUCUGGUUACGUAGCAGACACUGAAUAGCCUCCCUUGCCUUCCCACCCUGCCUAACUGAAUGGCUAUAAAAUUCAGAUGUUCUAAGUGAGGAUGCAAAAGCACAAAUAUUGUUCACGUUGUUGGUUGCCUUCAAAUAAGACAGCAUCCUUUUUACCAUCCCUUAAGACCAGGGGCUUCCUAGAGAUUGCCCAAGAUCUCGGGUGAAUUCAAUAUGUCCUUAGGCAGAUUUAAGAAAAGUUUCUAGGAAAUAUAUCUCCCUUUUGAUAUGUAAGGAAAUAGCUUUGUUCAAAGUCACUCGCCCAUUUCAGGACAGGGUAGCUCACUUGUGAGACUCCCCCAGUUCAUAUCCCAUCACCACUCCUCAGCUGGGUGACCUUGGGCAAACUCCUUUUGCCUCAUUUUUCCCAUCUGCAAAAUGGCAACAAUAAUAGCAUCUAUCUUGUAGGAAUGUUGAGCUGAUUAAAUGAGACUACCUGUUAAGUAUUUACCAGUGACUGGCAAAAAGCAAGUACUCAAUAAAUGCAAGCUAUUCUUAUUAUUUCUUGGAAUGAGUAAAAAUUUGUGCCAGGUGAGUUAAAAAAUUCUAAUUCUAUUAACAUUAUUAAAAAUACAACCAUAAUGGGGCUGGCCCCGUGGUCG
ensembl:lncRNA